rnacentral:tRNA from 1 species
GGAGCGGUAGUUCAGUUGGUUAGAAUGCCUGCCUGUCACGCAGGAGGUCGCGGGUUCGAGUCCCGUCCGUUCCGCAA